rnacentral:rRNA from 1 species
AGAGUUGAUCAUGGCUCAGGACGAACGCUGGCGGCGUGCUUAACACAUGCAAGUCGAGCGAUGAAGCUCCUUCGGGAGUAGAUUAGCGGCGGACGGGUGAGUAACACGUGGGUAACCUGCCUCAUAGAGGGGAAUAGCCUUUCGAAAGGAAGAUUAAUACCGCAUAUGGUAGCUUUAUCGCAUGGUAGUGCUAUUAAAGGAGUAAUCCGCUAUGAGAUGGACCCGCGUCGCAUUAGCUAGUUGGUGAGGUAACGGCUCACCAAGGCGACGAUGCGUAGCCGACCUGAGAGGGUGAUCGGCCACAUUGGGACUGAGACACGGCCCAGACUCCUACGGGAGGCAGCAGUGGGGAAUAUUGCACAAUGGGGGAAACCCUGAUGCAGCAACGCCGCGUGAGUGAUGACGGUCUUCGGAUUGUAAAGCUCUGUCUUUAGGGACGAUAAUGACGGUACCUAAGGAGGAAGCCACGGCUAACUACGUGCCAGCCGCAGC